GGUCGCUUAGCUCAGCUGGUUAGAGUACCACGUUGACAUCGUUGGGGCCUCUGGUUCGAAUCCAGUAGCGACCACCA
rnacentral:tRNA from 1 species